rnacentral:rRNA from 1 species
AUUGAACGCUGGCGGCAGGCUUAACACAUGCAAGUCGAGCGGAGAUGAGGUGCUUGCACCUUAUCUUAGCGGCGGACGGGUGAGUAAUGCUUCGGAAUCUGCCUAUUAGUGGGGGACAACAUUCCGAAAGGAAUGCUAAUACCGCAUACGUCCUACGGGAGAAAGCAGGGGAUCUUCGGACCUUGCGCUAAUAGAUGAGCCUAAGUCGGAUUAGCUAGUUGGUGGGGUAAAGGCCUACCAAGGCGACGAUCUGUAGCGGGUCUGAGAGGAUGAUCCGCCACACUGGGACUGAGACACGGCCCAGACUCCUACGGGAGGCAGCAGUGGGGAAUAUUGGACAAUGGGGGGAACCCUGAUCCAGCCAUGCCGCGUGUGUGAAGAAGGCCUUAUGGUUGUAAAGCACUUUAAGCGAGGAGGAGGCUACUGAGACUAAUACUCUUGGAUAGUGGACGUACUCGCAGAAU